AGAGUGAAUCGGAGCAUGAGGGGCCCCAGAAGCUGAUCCGUAAAGUGUCCACCUCUGGACAGAUGGGGACCAAGGAAUCAGAGAGGAUGCCUGGGCCUGCAGCCAGCACCACCCUCAAGGCCUUGCAGGAGGAGCUGUCCCUGGGGCCAGAGAGUUUUCCACUGCUGCAGGACCUGGAGAGGAUUCGUUCGAGAGUGAAUCGGAGCAUGAGGGGCCCCAGAAGCUGAUCCGUAAAGUGUCCACCUCUGGACAGAUGGGGACCAAGAAGCAUAAGAGGUCAUCCUGGUGUGGAGGCAUGGCUGCAUGAGGCAGGCAUAGCAGUAGAAGCAGGAAGCUGCAGCAUGAUGCACUGAAGGCCUGGAACAGAGAGAGCC